GACGUAGGAGGCGAGCGUUUGUCCGGAAUCACUGGGCGUAAAGCGCGCGCAGGCGGUCAUCUACGUCUGGGGUGAAAGCCCGGAGCUCAACUCUGGGAUUGCCUUGGAUACGGGAUGACUUGAGGAUCGGAGAGGCAAGGGGAAUUCCACGUGUAGCGGUGAAAAUGCGUAGAGAUGUGGAGGAACACCUGUGGCGAAGGCGCCUUGCUGGCCGAUUUCUGACGCUGAGGCGCGAAAGCGUGGGGGAGCAAACAGG
rnacentral:rRNA from 1 species